CAUAAAAAGUAACAGGUUUUUCUAAUUCCUAAUUUUAUGUUGAAGGUUGACAGGAAGUGAUCCGUCAUGACCUGUCUCUCGGUAUUAAUGACGUCUAUUAAGCCUUAACCGCUAGUCUUAAUUGCUGUAACUUUAAUCAAAGGUGUCACGUUAAAAAUCGAAUUUAGCUAGAAAACAUCCAAUUAUAUUGUCAUAUAUUUUAGUUGUUAAUGUUAAAAAAAAUCAACACGUUUAGUCUCAUUCAAAGCCCGACGAUUAUCUUAACUUAUACUCCAUUGCUCAUACAGUUGGUUCGCUCCGUUACGGUCUUCUAGGUUCAAAUCGUAGGUGGCAUUUCUAAAAAUUAAGGUCGCCGAUUAAACAAAGGCAUUUAUGGAACAUAAAUAUCUCCCUCAUCUAUGGGCUUGCAUUCAACAUAAGACCGCUUUGCGGGCCGGAAGUGAACUUCGCCCAGAAUUGAUUUCCUCAAAUAUCACAACAUGGCACCGGCUUCCGAUCUUACGUGAAUCGGAAGUGACCUCAGCACGUCAACGGAGACGUCGGCUUCCAAAAUAAAAGACAGUUUAGCUUUUCCAUGUUGAAUUUAUUUGUACCCAUUGCAGUUUUAUAUCUGAAAUUUUAUAUAAAGUCAUAGGACCUGAAAUGUAUAAAAACACAUCAAUGAAAGCAGCAGGGAUGUUCUAUUUUAAUCUCCCUUCCUACUAUGAUCUUACUGACACCUCCAGCAUCACAAAUGGAAAGGUGAUGACCUAAAAUAAUCACACAUCUUGUAACUUUUCUUUCAAAAGUAUUUUAUUUCCAUAUUUUUAUCAAGCAACUUUUUUCAGAUUUCUUUUAUAUUAAUGUAAUUAAAAAAAGAUAAAACUUGGGAUCUUUGUCGUUAUGUACAAGCAAUAAAACAAUGUUCAAGAAAUAACAAUGAACAUAAAGAAUCCCUUCACAAUAACACUGUAAAAAAAUAAGAAAAAGAACUUGAAUCAAACAAUUGUAAUUAACCGCUCUGCACUUAAGCAACAAGCUCAUUCAUACACAUACACGCAGACAGAGCAGGUUCUCAGUAGGUUUAGUUGAGGUGUAUGGUGAAGUGGUGAGACUCAGGCCACAAGCUCACAUAUCACAGCAUAGCCAAGGAACGGACACCAUAAUAAUGUGCCAAAUGAACAUGUGUCAUUCAUAUGUUUUGCGCGCACACACAUACAUUUCUGUCUGAGUCACAGCAACAUUUUAACAGCAUGCAGCGCAAGUGGUCGUCUGUAUGAUGGUCCAGUGCAGAUUAGAUCUUCUCUUUAUACAACCACAAGAGCAAAACCCAAAGCCUGACAACCUGUUCCAACACAUUAGCAUCUACACACUAGGAGCCUAGUGUUUCUAAUGUGAGGCCAACUUAUGGCACAACUUAGAAAACCACAGAUUGGUUUCUUUGCAUUUAUUGUAAUUAUUCGUUUUGCUGGGAUCUAACAAAUUCAUACAGAAAAUUGCCAAAGUAUGGAAGACCAAUUCAGUAUUUCUAUAUCUAAUAAAAAGGAUAUUGAUUUAACCCUUAGGAGUCAACCAUCAUCCCAGCAUGGUCAAAUUACAUGACUGGCUUAAGAUAUUGUGACAUAAAAAACAAAAAUAAAAUCAAUAAAAAACAA